GAUGAACGCGGCGGCGUGCUAAUACAUGCAAGUAGAACGCUGAAGCUUGGUGCUUGCACCGAGCGGAUGAGUUGCGAACGGGUGAGUAACGCGUAGGUAACCUGCCUCUUAGCGGGGGAUAACUAUUGGAAACGAUAGCUAAUACCGCAUAAAAGUCGAUAUCGCAUGAUAUUGAUUUGAAAGGUGCAAUUGCAUCACUAAGAGAUGGACCUGCGUUGUAUUAGCUAGUUGGUGAGGUAACGGCUCACCAAGGCGACGAUACAUAGCCGACCUGAGAGGGUGAUCGGCCACACUGGGACUGAGACACGGCCCAGACUCCUACGGGAGGCAGCAGUAGGGAAUCUUCGGCAAUGGGGGCAACCCUGACCGAGCAACGCCGCGUGAGUGAAGAAGGUUUUCGGAUCGUAAAGCUCUGUUGUAAGAGAAGAACGAGUGUGAGAGUGGAAAGUUCACACUGUGACG
rnacentral:rRNA from 1 species